rnacentral:misc_RNA from 1 species
GAGGUUUUUUGGCACUCGUCUUCUCUGUCUUAAAGACAGAAGCCCUCAAUUUAUUCUAGGUCAAGGAUUUAAGAGAAGUUACAAUACAUGCAAAUGUUCAAACACAAACAUAGCGUACACAUUACGCACCAUGAAAACGCCUAUUCUCAGAGUGUUCCUCUUCUGCAUCAGGAAAUAAGCUACUCCUACCAUCAUGGUGAUGCUGAUCAGUGAAUCGACAAACGGCUAAAAAAUAGAGGAAGUUAAUCACACAUAAGAAAGUUAUUAGCCAGCAGUAGUAAUCUAGAUGACCUCUGUUUAUGUUUGUGGCGAGCCAACUUGUGUUGCCUCCAGCUGAG